CGUCGUCAACAGCUAUUUUAACACGCCAAAAAGGCUCCAUCUGAUUCCAAGAUGGCGACCGCUGUAAUGACAAGUUUACUUCCUGCUAAUUCUGAGGACAGCUGUGAAAAAGCCCUUCAGAAGGUUGUGAGUCCUGAAGCUUACAUCAAACAUCCUUUACAAAACAGGUGGGCUCUCUGGUUUUUCAAAAAUGACAAAAGCAAAACAUGGCAAGCGAACCUUCGGCUGAUCUCUAAGUUUGACACUGUGGAAGACUUCUGGGCAUUAUAUAAUCACAUCCAGCUUUCCAGUAAUCUAAUGUCUGGGUGUGACUAUUCACUGUUUAAGGACGGGAUCGAACCCAUGUGGGAGGAUGAAAGGAAUCGACGAGGUGGUCGCUGGCUGAUAACUUUGUCCAAACAGCAACGGAAAAUGGAUCUGGACCGGUUCUGGUUGGAGACGCUCUUGUGUCUCGUGGGUGAAGCAUUUGAUGACCACAGUGAUGAUGUUUGUGGUGCCGUCAUUAACGUAAGAGCCAAAGGAGAUAAAAUCGCAAUCUGGACGACAGACUUUGAAAACAAGGAGGCCAUCACACACAUAGGGUUUCUGCAGAACUGGAUGCCUUGCUGAGGAGCUAAUAAUCAUUAGAAUCAGUUGCGUUGGAGCAGGGGAAACAUCUGAAGCAUUCAGGAACCAGGUCUCUGAGGACCUGAGUUGGACACCUCUGCAUUAGUGCGAGUGUACAAGGAGAGACUAGGCGUCCCACCAAAAGUGAUAAUUGGCUACCAGUCACAUGCCGAUACAGCCACAAAGAGCAGUUCCACCACCAAGAACAAGUUUGUUGCCUAAAGACCUCUGGAUUCAUCUGUUAUUUGCAUCACAUUUUAUGUCUUUUUCCAUGAUCUUCCUGACAAAUUAAUCCACUGGGAGGAAGAAUGUUUUGUUUGUUUGCCCAUUUAAUGCCUGACCAAAGCUUCUGUUUGGGGAGAGAGUAUGUGCAAUUAAAAAUGUAGCACCUCUUUGGACACUUUAUUUUGCGGACUAAAGAUAUCAGUUUCUGGUGUAUUAAAAUUUGAUUUAAAUUUGUUAAAUAUUAAAGGGAAAUAUCAAAAAGCUUCCUGAUUAUGAAUUAAAGCAGUCCAAUGAUUUAAAAGUUUACUAAAGUUAAUUUGAGUUGACAUUUUGCUUGGAUCUAAUAAAAAUGAUAUCAAAAUUAACAAUAAAAAAAUUUAGUUUAAAUAAAAUGUGGCUUUUUGGUAUCGUUGGUCCAUUUUAGGUAAAUCGGCUCUUUCUAUUGGCAUUGAAGUUGCAGAAAUGUUCUUUCUAAAAACCUCGUUCAGAAGCAAAGUGUUUAAAUUAAGCCAGAAUUCAUUCAGAGAAAUUAAAUGUAUUUAUGCUUUAAUUAAUAUCUACAGAAGUUGAGUCUUUGCAUAGUUCAGCUGCAGAAAAUAUUCCUUCUAAACAACCACAAAGAAAAGUUUGCUGGAGCUUUUUCUCUAGAAUUUCAAGCCGUUCAUAGCUGAGCUGCUUCUACUCAGAUGAAUGUGAACAUUUUCAGUUGUAGAGCAAAGACGUGUCCUGGAGAAUCGAUGUUUAUUUAGAUGAAGAAGAGACCAUUUUCUUUAGUGCUUUUCUGACAGAUUUAAAGGCCUAUAAUCUGCAGUGAACAACAUAACAUUUGUUUAAGGUAAAAUGUUUUUUUUUUUUUUUACUAAAUUGUGCCUUCGGUGUUUAAACCCUGUCUGCAUCUUUUUAUUUUACAGUGUAUGUAUAAAGGACCAAUGUAAAUAAAUUGUACAGUGAUGUGUUCUCUGAUAAGAAAUGGAAAGAAAACAAUAAAUAUAUAUAUUAAAGAAUGAA